rnacentral:rRNA from 1 species
AAUCAACGCUGGCGGCGUGCCUAACACAUGCAAGUCGAACGCGAAAGCCCCGCAAGGGGUAAGUAGAGUGGCAAACGGGUGAGUAACACGUGGGUGACCUGCCUUCGAGUGGGGGAUAACGUCCCGAAAGGGACGCUAAUACCGCAUGACAUCCUGCUUUUGAAAAAGCGGAGAUCAAAGCUGGGGAUCGCAAGACCUAGCGCUUGAAAAGGGGCCCGCGCCUGAUUAGCUAGUUGGUGAGGUAACGGCUCACCAAGGCGACGAUCAGUAUCCGGCCUGAGAGGGCGGACGGACACACUGGGACUGAGACACGGCCCAGACUCCUACGGGAGGCAGCAGUGGGGAAUUGUUCGCAAUGGGCGCAAGCCUGACGACGCAACGCCGCGUGGAGGACGAAGAGCUUCGGGUCGUAAACUCCUGUCGAGCGGGACGAACGCUUCGCGGAUGAAUAAUCCGCGGAAUUGACGGUACCGCUAAAGGAAGCCCCGGCUAACUCCGUG